rnacentral:lncRNA from 1 species
UCUAAAUCCAUUGCCCAUCUCAGGAUGAGCGCUGUCUCGCCCUGAUCCGGGGCUGGCAGUUCAGCAGAGGUGAUCCGUGAUAAAGUGGGUUAGACCGCGGCGUGCCUGGGGCAAGCCACCACUUAAUGGACACCUCGUUCACCCUCAAGGCAGGUAUCUUUACGCCCAUUUAUGACGAGGAAACUGGCUCAGAGAACCCACUCACGCGGCUGGCUCAAGGCCAUGAGGCAGGUAAGCAGGAGGUGGGGAGUCAUCCCUGUGGCCUAAGAGAUGAGGUCCUAGCUAGCUGGGUGGGGGCUACCAGGAGUCCACCCCUCAGGCUUUCGCCACUGCCUGCUGCCCUCUCCUGCAGUGCAGGAUUGCAGUGUGCCUGGGUGUUUCCCCCCAGGCGCCUGGGGAUGAGGAAAGCUCCCACAAAAAGAAAACAUACAUCACCAAGAUGUGGUUGAAUGGUAACAUGCAUGCCUGUAUGGCAGGGGCUCUCUUCAGUGGAAACACCCUGCUCCGGCUCAGUCACCUUUUACUCCGCCAUCCCAUGCUACUGAAGACCCAGACAACUCCCACAUAGUCACCCUACUUGGAAUAAAAUAACCACAGAUCAUCUUUCACACUGCGGCUGCUGUAUCAAGUGCGCCCACUCCUGGAAAUGCCAGCUCUGAGGGGAACGCACACAGAGAGAGAAGGAUGUGCUGAUCGGUAUUCCAGCUACGCUCCAGAAUGUGUAAAAGUCAGACAGAUACAAGGCAAGUUGGGCCCAGCAAAAAUUUCCUCUUCCCCUAAAGUCUAAUUUUACACUAUUUUUACCUUAAGUGCAAUUGAAGAAUUCUAGCAUUUUGAAGAAUUCCGUCUGAAGUCACAGAUGACAGUGGUUACUGAUACUGAACCAAGGACCACCCCCUCUGAGGCAGCAGGACGAGGGCUGGGCACACCCACCACACGGCUGGACUGAAUGUGAUUGGCUGUGACAGGCCAACUUCCCCAACGUGCCUAACUAGCACUUUAAACAUCUCUACUGCGAGCAUUUUCUGAGUAGAAUAAAGCAGAGCAGGAUGAAGACAUAAAAACCGUUUCUCUAUGUCAUCAGCCACACCACUGUGAGAUCCCAAUAGCAAGAUUAAGAAAGCAUUUUGACUGAAAUGUAAAAAUGCUGAAGUUAGAGGUGCCUAAUCUUCCUAAACUAAUGAAAGCAUAUAUUUAACACAAGUCCAAUUAAAU